rnacentral:lncRNA from 1 species
CUAAAAUGCAAAUAAAUCACUAACAAUCUCAUAUAGCCAUACAUGUUAUCAUGGUGAUGUAAUUAAUACUGAGCCAAUGUGAUUUGGGGAAUUAAUCAAGCUGCUGUUGCUGGGGUGGAAAUUCCUGUUACCUGCAGCAGGGCUGGGUUUGCUGCUCGUCUGCAGCUGCACGUUGGCAGACACUUGUGAUCACAGCAGCAGGAUUUAUAUAUAGGGUAUAUAAAUAUGAGGCUAAUACACAUAGAGCAGGAGAUAAGGAAAACAAUGCAUCAGGAUCCAAAGUUUUGGUGGCUCUUCUUUUAAAAAAAAAAAAAAAAAGAAGGCUUAUUAUGGCUCUGCUUAAGACCUCAGACACCUGUUCCACGCAGCCUACAAGCACGUCUGACAUUGGUGUGGCUACUGUCCACCCCUCCAGGGAAUCUCCCUGGGGGCUGAGUCCAUCUGACCACUGCUAUGUGCUUGGCUGAGCAGCAGUGCUGGGUCUACGAUGCCUUCAGACAUGUCCCAAGUGCAACGUGGGCAGUGCAUGUCCAUUUCUGAUGGUGAAGCAGCUUUUCUGCAUAAAGAGGACACAGUGUUUUCAGUGGGAACUAGGCCAGAUGGAAGCACACAGCCUCCCCAGUACUGCCGUCUGCCUGCCAGUGGGAUGGAUUCCCACAUACUGAUGGAGAUUGAUGGCUGCUCUCCAUGGACCAUCCUGCAGAACACAAAAUGAGAAAUGCCCUCAAUCUCCUCUGAAUUUCAAGUAAGAUUGUUUCUUGUUUAAGGCAAAGCUUAUUUAUUCUUUAUUCUUGCACAAACAGCAUUCACCCAUUGUGCUCAUGCUGUUGAUGGCAGGUUAGCUGUGAAUCUG